GUCUAGCACAGAGGUCGCGUUAGGGAUAGAAGUGGAAAUCCUUUUUAUCGAUGCGCGAGCAGCAUAAAAAGAUUGCAACGGAUAGCGCGGCCGCAG
rnacentral:sRNA from 1 species